UAUGGCCAGUUGUAAGAAAUACCUCAGC
rnacentral:piRNA from 1 species